rnacentral:rRNA from 1 species
AGAGUUUGAUCCUGGCUCAGGAUGAACGCUAGCUACAGGCUUAACACAUGCAAGGUCGAAGGGGAAACGAUAUUGGAAGCUUGCUUUCCGAUAGGCGUUCGACCGGCGCACGGGUGAGUAACGCGUAUCCAACCUGCCCACCACUUGGGGAUAACCUUGCGAAAGUAAGACUAAUACCCAAUGAUAUCUCUAGAAGACAUCUGAAAGAGAUUAAAGAUUUAUCGGUGAUGGAUGGGGAUGCGUCUGAUUAGCUUGUUGGCGGGGUAACGGCCCACCAAGGCGACGAUCAGUAGGGGUUCUGAGAGGAAGGUCCCCCACAUUGGAACUGAGACACGGUCCAAACUCCUACGGGAGGCAGCA